rnacentral:rRNA from 1 species
UGAAGUUAAAGGCUGUGGNUCAACCAUAGUUCGCUUUGGAAACUGUCAAACUUGAGUGCAGAAGGGGAGAGUGGAAUUCCAUGUGUAGCGGUGAAAUGCGUAGAUAUAUGGAGGAACACCGGUGGCGAAAGCGGCUCUCUGGUCUGUAACUGACGCUGAGGCUCGAAAGCGUGGGGAGCGAACAGGAUUAGAUACCCUGGUAGUCCACGCCGUAAACGAUGAGUGCUAGGUGUUGGAUCCUUUCCGGGAUUCAGUGCCGCAGCUAACGCAUUAAGCACUCCGCCUGGGGAGUACGACCGCAAGGUUGAAACUCGAAGGAAUUGACGGGGGCCCGCACAAGCGGUGGAGCAUGUGGUUUAAUUCGAAGCAACGCGAAGAACCUUACCAGGUCUUGACAUCCCGAUGCUAUUUCUAGAGAUAGAAAGUUACUUCGGUACAUCGGUGACAGGUGGUGCAUGGUUGUCGUCAGCUCGUGUCGUGAGAUGUUGGGUUANNNNNNNCNACGAGCGCAACCCCUAUUGUUAGUUGCCAUCAUUCAGUUGGGCACUCUAGCGAGACUGCCGGUAAUAAACCGGAGGAAGGUGGGGAUGACGUCAAAUCAUCAUGCCCCUUAUGACCUGGGCUACACGCGUGCUACAAUGGUUGGUACAACGAGUUGCGAGUCGGUGACGGCAAGCUAAUCUCUUAAAGCCAAUCUCAGUUCGGAUUGUAGGCUGCAACU